rnacentral:rRNA from 1 species
UACGUAGGGUGCGAGCGUUGUCCGGAAUUAUUGGGCGUAAAGGGCGCGUAGGCGGUGCGGUAAGUCUGCGGUGAAAUCUCCCGGCUCAACUGGGAGGCUGCCGUGGAAACUGCCGUGCUUGAGUGUGGGAGAGGUGAGUGGAAUUCCCGGUGUAGCGGUGAAAUGCGUAGAUAUCGCUUGGAACGCCAAAGGUGAAAACAGGUUGCUGGGGUUGUGCCGACGCUGAGACACGAAAGCCAGGGGAGCAAACGGG